rnacentral:lncRNA from 1 species
GGGGGGGAGAAGAGGACAAGACAAAGAGGAACAUACUUAAGGACAUGUUAGGCAGCUGUCAUAUCAAGUUUCUGAGCUGCAGAGAAAAUGCCAUAAUAUGGGUCACACUUCAAAUAAUACCUUAUUUAUCAGAAGUAUUUUUUUUUUGGUCUAAAUGUUAAGACAUAAAUAUUAUUUAAAUGGCUUGAAUCGGUCAAAAGGAAGAUAGAAAAAAGGCUGAGAUGAAACAACCAAAAGAAGACUUUAUUAAACUUCAUGUAGUUUGUUUACAUUUAACUAAUUUCUCUGCCAUAAUACGGGUCACACUCCAAAUACUACCUUAUUUAUCAGAAGUAUUAUUUAAAUGGCUUGAAUAGGUCAAAAGGAAGAUAGAAAAAAAGCUGAUAGAUGAAACAACCAAAAGAAGACUUUAUUAAACUUCAUGUAGUAAUUUGUCCAAAAAAAAGAAAAAAACUUCAUGUAGUUU